AUUAUCUUGGCAGAUUAGUGCAUUAAAUUUAGAAUUUAAUUUAUAUAGUUUUCACUAUAGAUAAU
rnacentral:tRNA from 1 species